UGAAAGUCUAAUUUAUCUAAUCUAGCAGCGAAAAUAAAUGUCUUGCAACACAUAACUCGGCUGAUUAUUUAAUCGUGUAUAUUAACAUGGUCUGUACGAAAGAUUAAACGGGGUGAACCAAAAAAAAGAAAAAACUAUUCGUAUUUGGAUGAAAUUGUCUGACCGUAUUUCUAUAUUAUCGCAAUAGAUAUAGUUUAUUUGUCAAGUACGUAAUCGAUAUCCCCGAUCAAUGCGUAAGGCAAUUCAAAUUUGCGUAGCUUCGCUGUGUUACCCUUUAAUAACGGGAUAGCAGGAAGAAGGAUCAGAUCAUAUUCUGCAAGGGUGAGGGCAUAGGUGAGUUGUUUUGCUACGGAAUACGAACCGUUGCCACAGGAGACGCAGCGGAAAAAUGGGCGUGCUCGGUUUGCACUCUGUGAGCGCUUGGUAAGCGAAGCUUGGCAUUCGGCGUAAAGGCGUUUUUAGAUCCAGAAAGAGAAAAGGAGCGAACGAAUGCAGGUGUGCGCUUUGGGUCGGCCUCGCUUUCCGUUAGAAGCAUCGUCAGUGGCAAUUACGGAAACGAAACUGGCCGCGGCUCGCUCACGCUGGAGGAAGGAAUCGGGCACACCCGCGAUGACACGAAUCAGCCUGCAGGAGAGUAAGAGACUGGCACCAGCAUUGAUCGCGCAUACUUUUUCUGUCAACCUAUCUGUCUCGAUUACUUUCUGCUCAUAAAAUUCACCUUAAAACUUUAUUCUCUGAAUCAUUUAUUUAACCCGGUUAAUCUGUAUGUCGAUGACGGCGCGGUCG